rnacentral:piRNA from 1 species
UGGCUCAAAUAGCUGGGAGCGAUUGGCCUGA